UGGGGAAUCUUGGACAAUGGGGGAAACCCUGAUCCAGCCAUGCCGCGUGAGUGAUGAAGGCCCUAGGGUUGUAAAACUCUUUCGGCGGGGACGAUAAUGACGGUACCCGCAGAAGAAGCUCCGGCUAACUUCGUGCCAGCAGCCGCGGUAAUACGAAGGGGGCUAGCGUUGUUCGGAAUUACUGGGCGUAAAGCGCGCGCAGGCGGUCCUUCAAGUCAGAGGUGAAAGCCCAGAGCUCAACUCUGGAAUGGCCUUUGAGACUAGAGGACUUGGGUACGGGAGAGGUGAGUGGAAUUCCGAGUGUAGAGGUGAAAUUCGUAGAUAUUCGGAAGAACACCAGUGGCGAAGGCGGCUCACUGGCCCGUUACCGACGCUCAGGCGCGACAGCGUGGGGAGCAAACA
rnacentral:rRNA from 1 species